AGCUCCAAUAGCGUAUAUUAAAGUUGUUGCAGUUAAAAAGCUCGUAGUUGGAUUUCUGGUGUGAUGCCCUGGCCCGUGCCUCAUUUGGUGCGUGUGCCGGCUGUGCGUCCGCCAUCCUUCUAGAAAACGUGCCUACUCUUCACUGAGACGGGCCACGCGAUCUAGAUCUUUUACUUUGAAAAAAUUAGAGUGUUUAAGGCAGGCUUUUGCUAUGAAUACAUUAGCAUGGAAUAAUAAUCUAGGACUUCGGUUCUAUUUUGUUGGUUUCUAGUACUGAAGUAAUGAUUGAUAGGGAUAGUUGGGGGUGCUAGUAUUGAGCGGCCAGAGGUGAAAUUCUUGGAUUCGCUCAAGACUAACUUAUGCGAAAGCAUUCACCAAGGAUGUCUUCUUUAAUCAAGAA
rnacentral:rRNA from 1 species